AACCUGGUUGAUCCUGCCAGUAGUCAUAUGCUUGUCUCAAAGACUAAGCCAUGCAUGUCUAAGUAUAAGUAUUAUACAGCGAAACUGCGAAUGGCUCAUUAAAACAGUUAUAGUUUAUUUGAUAAUCGAAUUUACAUGGAUAACCGUGGUAAUUCUAGAGCUAAUACAUGCUGGUGUGCCCGACUUUUGUGGAAGGGCGGUAUUUAUUAGAUAACAAGCCAAUAUUCCUCUGGUCUAUUGUGGUGACUCAUAAUAACUGAUCGAAUCGCAAGGCCUAUGGCCGCGGUAAGUCAUUCAAGUUUCUGCCCCAUCAGCUUUCGAUGGUAGUGUAUUGGACUACCAUGGCGUUUACGGGUAACGGAGGAUUAGGGUUCGAUUCCGGAGAGGGAGCCUGAGAAACGGCUACCACAUCUAAGGAAGGCAGCAGGCGCGUAAAUUACCCAAUCCUGACUCAGGGAGGUAGUGACAAGAAAUAACGGACCGGGGCCUUACGGCUUCGGGAUUGCAAUGAGCCGAAUUUACACCCCUUAGCGAAGAUCGAUUGGAGGGCAAGUCUGGUGCCAGCAGCCGCGGUAAUUCCAGCUCCAAUAGC
rnacentral:rRNA from 1 species